rnacentral:misc_RNA from 1 species
AAUUCACACCAACUCGGAGAUGCUAAUCUAUCUCAUUAAAAAUGUUAAUUGAUGAUACAUUUAACUGUUCAAAACAUAUAUUCAAAAAAUAUUCAUGAGCGGAGAAUAUACGUCAGUUGAAGAGAAAUGUGAAAUUUCAUAUGCAGUGACGGGCAAAAGAAAGUUUAUAAAAUAAGAAGUAUAAAAAAACGCUAUAAUUUUACAAGAUGAAUUUAUAUUUGGAUGGAGCAUAUUUAAUGAAUAAACGUAAUAUAUGGCACAGAAUAGACGACUAUUAUCGAUAUGUUUCGUAAGUGGAAUAUCCACGUCAUAUGCCAACAUCCGGAAAUACGCUCUGAAAUCUGAAAUAUACAUUCUAGAAAAUCGGUUUAUGUGCCAUUCGCAUGAGUAAUAG